rnacentral:rRNA from 1 species
GACGAACGCUGGCGGCGUGGAUUAGGCAUGCAAGUCGAACGGUAUCAUCCUUUCGGGGGUGAGAGAGUGGCGAACUGGUGAGUAACACGUAGGUUAUCUACCCUCAAGACGGGGACAACCCAGGGAAACUUGGGCUAAUACCGGAUGUGAGCAACUUUUAGUUGUUUGAAAGGUGGCGUAAGCUGUCGCUUGGGGAUGAGCCUGCGUCCUAUUAGUUAGUUGGUGAGGUAACGGCUCACCUAGGCAAUGAUAGGUAGGCGGCCUUAACGGGUGGUCGCCCACACUGGGAUUGAGAUACGGCCCAGACUCCUACGGGAGGCAGCAGUCGAGAAUAGUCUACAAUGGUCGGAAGACUGAUAGUGCGACGCCGCGUGAACGAUGAAUCCCUUCGGGGUGUAAAGUUCUUUUAUAUGUGAGCAGUGCUUUUUAUAUAACAUAGGUGGGAGAGAGAUUAGUUACGACUAAUAUAGUAAAUAACGACGAACGGUAACUUAACCGUCCGUCGACCGAGCGACGGCCGGUAACCGGUUAAACUACGUACCG